AUGCUCCGGAUGCUCGGAAGUGAGCAGCCAAGAGAGUCCCGGAGACCAAGCAGGACAGGGGAAUUCCCCCAACGGACCUCCUCUCCUCGGGUCCCCUCCCCCACUGGGGGUGUGGCUCCCAGGCUCAACCUGAGUCCCGCCCAGCUGGGGGCCCAGGGGGGAUCUCCUCACAAGCCACGCCCUCUGCCCAUCCGCUCUUUGCCCCGGUCCUCGCCUCAGCUCUGCAGACCUGCAGCACAGGCCAGAGACGUGGAUGAAAUGGAAGGGGCCACACGUGGCAGCAGGCCUGGCCAGGAGCACCCAGGGAGACAAGGGCCCUCCCAUAGGGAAGACCCAGGGACGGACUCCAAGGGACACCUGCCCUUCCAAGGGAAGGAAGAACAUCGCCAUCCCUCUGAAAGGCGGGCGACGAAGGGAAUCCUGGAGACCGCAGAGGGCUCUCACAGCAGAGAAGGAAUCGCCAAGCGGAGCCUGCGGGCUGAGGGCUCCAGGCUGAAGCGGGGGAGAAGCCCUGAGGGCCCCCGUGGCAGUCGCCACCAAGAAAACGGACACAGACGGGGAGAAGAGAAGGUGAGGGGACGACCAUCCCCAGCUAAGGGGAGACCAAAGGACAAGGCUGACCCCAGCAGAGCAGGACGUCAGGGCAGAGGAGGUAAGUUGCUGGGCCGGCCCUUGGCACAGGUGGGGACGUGGGUGGGGGGCCUCGGUGGCAAACCCAGGGCCCAGGGGCAGGGGACGGACACAGGCCCUGGGGAGAUGCUCCGGGAGCCCUUUCGAAAGGGCUGAGAGGAAGGCGUGCCCGACGUGGCGCGGGUUCGGGUCAGAUCCUGGGAGGGGCCCAGAGGCGGGCGGGCGUGCUGGCUUGGGCCGGGUGGGGGCCAGGGGGCUGGAGUCGGGAGCAGGAGCGGGAAGCGGCUCUGGGGACCUUGGCAGGGAGUCCCAGGGGCCGCGCGCACUCGCGGCAACACCUCCCUUUCUCUCUCCCGCUUAGGUUCUGCCCACACCGCCCUGCAGCUCAAGAACAGGAGGACCCUGCCCGGGUCUCCAGAGAGGACCGCCGGCGGCGGACUCCUCCAGGACAGGCGAGAGGCCGGGCCCGCCUCCCGAAAGCGCCGCCACCACCUGUCGCCAGAAGCCCGCGCGCCCCUGUCGGGGCCCCUGUCCCGGCUCUUCAACCACGUGGGCGCGCUGGACGUGGCCCUGGGCGAGCUGCGGGCUCCCGGAGGCGCCUUCCUGCCGCUGCCCGCCCGCGGCCCGCAGCCCGCGGCCUCGCAGCGCGCCUGGCUCGCCUGGCAGCUGACGCAGGCGGGGGCGACCCUGCACGGGGCGGGGGCUGCGCUGGACGCCCUGCUCGCUGCCGCGCAGCCCCGGCCCGCCUGCCCGCAGCCUUCCCUGCCGGCGGCUCCGGGGCCGUAGGGAUCGCGCCCCGAUCCCGAGCCCGCGUCCUCCGCCCUUCCCGGGGACGCUCCCGUCUGCCCCGGAGCCCGUCCCGACUCUGCCCUCCCGACUCCCCGAGCAAGGGUCCUUGGCGGCAGUUCGCACACCCAGGCGACGAGCUCCCUCCCACAGCGCCACACCAUCCAACUGUCCGGGAAACAGUGUUAGGCACCGACCAGACCUCCCUUCCUACCGGAUCCCCGCUCAGGGAAAGGGCUUCUCGUUUCCAAAGGACAGCCCGUGAAGAUGAGCGCUCAGAGCAAAUCCCUUCUUUUCUUCCAGGGGCUCGGAUGACCAGCACUCUCACCCAUUUGGACCUUUGCACCAUUGCGUGUUUUCCUGCUAUAGGAAAAAUAAAGCCUGCACAGAGAAACA
rnacentral:lncRNA from 1 species